GAAAGGCUUGCGGCUUAUCUUUGGUACUAAUUUGGAAUCAUUUGUGUAUGGCAGCGCAGAUCUUUUAAUAAUUCUCAUGUCCACUUGUAGUUAUUUUCAGUCAAUUGAAUUAUUGUUUAACUGAUCAUGACCGCCUUAAAAAUGAGUAUUACAAAUUAGUUAGAUUUUCUUGUUUUGGUAUUGUUUUACCAAUCUACUUGUAGAUUUAAAACUAAUAGACCAGAAAAGGCUGGUUAUACAAGUAUAGCUGUGGGUUUCAGUUGUAUAUUUUGUUGUCCACUAACUUAACUUCUAUCAGAUACAAGGAUAACAGCAGUACUCAACUAUCGGGCCUU
rnacentral:misc_RNA from 1 species